UCGGCUCCCAUUUUCGGGUUACGGGCUUGCGGUCGUCUCCUCCAUUUGUAGAAUCAACACUCUUAUCUACACGACCUCGAGAAGUAUUGCACCACUGCAACAAUGUCGACGAAGAAAGGAGCUGCCCUGCAACAAGAUGUUCCGUGGAGAGCAUCCUCUGCUGCAAAGCCAAUUCCCAAGAUUCACCACUCGCCAGUUCUUCGCCUCCCGCAGAAUCCGUACUCCAAUUACGCCCUUUCUGUUAUGAAGCGGGAUGAUCCAAUUGGGAAUGGACUGGGUAAGGAGGCUGUGGUCGAAGCUGCUGGGCCUGAAUGCAUUGUUCCAGGACAAGUUACACCUAUCAAAUUACUUGGUCUUAAGGUAUGGCCCAUUGAAGUGGACUUGAAGUUUUUAGAACCAGUUGGACGGGAACUCAAGUCAAUUGGAAAGUUCAUGGAUUCAGCUGUAGAUCUUAUGAAUAAAUCAUUCAUCGAUCGCUAGAGAUAGUGUCUUGAGACCCAAUGCCUGUUGUCUGCUGCUAGAGUUGCCUGUCGUUCUUCAUACUCUCAGACAUGUGGGACUCAUAGGAAGUAGACUGAGAAGACAUUCUGGAGUAUCUUCGGACAGCAUUUUGAUUUUUCUUUUCAAGCACUUUUAUUGGAGAAUCAUCCAUAGCAUAUGUGAUUUCAACUCAGCGGAUGACAUAACGUAAGGCCUAAGAUCAAUCACACGAGCCAAUGUCGAUGUGGAGAUCCCACAACUAUGGUAAUCUAAGAUGUUCUGUUUUCUGAAAUUAAUGCAGGAACUCGAACUCUGAAAAGGGCCGUGGCCGGGAGAAGACCAACCGCUAGCUGUUGCUGUGUAUCUUCUUGGUUAGAGAAGAUGAGAUGCAUUAGCCAAAGCAUCAGACGAGAGCUGCAGGUUGUGGUGGAUGAACUACCCCUGCUCCAAUCCGAAGCAUCGAAACAUUUUCUGCUGAAGAAUGCACAAGAAAUGGGGUAGCACAUAAUAUUCGGUUUACCUUGAAGGUUUGCACAAAGAUUGCCCGGAAGAAAACAAGAUUUACUGGAGAAGGUAUCCAAGAAAUAGAAAUCACACUGCUUUAUGCCUUUCAAAAAAACAAGAAAUACUCUGAUUCACCAUACAAAACUAGAUGACAGAAUGGAUGUCAAACAAUGGCCUUCGCCCUGAAGAAUAGAUCCUCAAGACUGUCUAGCCAGAGAUUUCUCUUUAUGGGAUGAGAUCAUCUUUCAACAUCUUGUUAGAAAUCAACAGAAAUGUUAUAAAAACACCGAUGGAAAGUGUGUAUGAUUCUUAAAAGGCAUUUUGACAGAAGCUUUUCUGAGAUUAAUGAAAUCCAAAUGCACCAACAUUACUGAUGUAAAGUGAGAUAUGUCCAAUUGAAGAAAGGAAACCACAUUUUGCUGAUCUCCAUGCUUAGGAAGCUAAAGAACUAAAAGGGCCAUCAAAC